rnacentral:sRNA from 1 species
UAACUACAAUUGAUAAAGCAAUUAACUUCAGUGUGAGGGUUACAAGUGGUAUUUGCAACGAUAAUCUGAAGAGACAAGGAAAGGAGCCACCUUCGCCGCCGGAAUUGAUAAGGUCUGCCAAAGACGAAGAUCUGGAGUUGUGGCUGUUGAAAUGGCAACACUUGUUGAAGACGACAAAACGUGUCACGCAUGAUCUUGUUGAUGAUACUAACUAGGGCUCUGCUCCUGCAUCAUCAAGAAUCCGGAGGCGUUCGCGUCUGCGUUCAUAACAGCCGCGAUGAGGUCAUAUGAGGAUCCAGACGACACAAGUCACGUUGUCGAUGUUCUUUGGGUCGGGGAACUCAUUUGGGAUAUAAUAACCAAUUAACCAUGUUGCAAGUUUUUUUUUUUUUUUUUGUAUGUAGGAUAAGUUAUGAGUCGCACUUUCUCGAGCCAACGCGCACAGAGCGCUCUCUGUCUGUGAUGUCAUCUACUAAUAUAUAUCUUUUUCACCUUUU